rnacentral:rRNA from 1 species
GUAGGGAAUAUUGGACAAUGGGCGAAAGCCUGAUCCAGCAAUGCCGCGUGAGUGAGGAAGGCCUUAGGGUUGUAAAGCUCUUUCGGCGGGGACGAUGAUGACGGUACCCGCAGAAGAAGCCCCGGCUAACUUCGUGCCAGCAGCCGCGGUAAUACGAAGGGGGCGAGCGUUGUUCGGAAUUACUGGGCGUAAAGGGCGCGUAGGCGGCCAUCUUUGUCAGGCGUGAAAGCCCUGGGCUCAACCCAGGAAUUGCGCUUGGGACGGGACGGCUUGAGUUCGGGAGAGGAGAGUGGAAUUCCCAGUGUAGAGGUGAAAUUCGUAGAUAUUGGGAAGAACACCGGUGGCGAAGGCGGCUCUCUGGACCGAUACUGACGCUGAGGCGCGAAAGCGUGGGGAGCAAACAGGAUUAGAAACCCGAGUAGUCC